rnacentral:Y_RNA from 2 species
GGUUAUUGUCUAUAAAUAAGAAAGUCACUUCCAAGCCAACCAGAAAUAUGUAUCAAAUUGAUCACAACCAGUAACAGAUUUCUUUGUUCUUUCUCCAUUCCCACUGCUUCACUUGACUAGCCUUAA